rnacentral:rRNA from 1 species
UUUGAUGGCGACCGGCGCACGGGUGAGUAACACGUAUCCAACCUGCCGAUGACUCGGGGAUAGCCUUUCGAAAGAAAGAUUAAUACCCGAUGGCAUAGUUCUUCCGCAUGGUAGAACUAUUAAAGAAUUUCGGUCAUCGAUGGGGAUGCGUUCCAUUGGGUUGUUGGCGGGGUAACGGCCCACCAAGCCUUCGAUGGAUAGGGGUUCUGAGAGGAAGGUCCCCCGCAUUGGAACUGAGACACGGUCCAA